rnacentral:rRNA from 1 species
UACGUAGGGUGCAAGCGUUAAUCGGAAUUACUGGGCGUAAAGCGCACGUAGGCGGCUUUGUAAGUUAGAGGUGAAAGCCUGGAGCUCAACUCCAGAAUUGCCUUUAAGACUGCAUCGCUUGAAUCCAGGAGAGGUGAGUGGAAUUCCGAGUGUAGAGGUGAAAUUCGUAGAUAUUCGGAAGAACACCAGUGGCGAAGGCGGCUCACUGGACUGGUAUUGACGCUGAGGUGGCGAAAGCGUGGGGAGCAACAGG